AACGCACAUUGCGCCCCUUGGUAUUCCGGGGGGCAUGCCUGUUCGAGCGUCAUUUCAACCCUCAAGCUUAGCUUGGUAUUGAGUCUAUGUCAGUAAUGGCAGGCUCUAAAAUCAGUGGCGGCGCCGCUGGGUCCUGAACGUAGUAAUAUCUCUCGUUACAGGUUCUCGGUGUGCUUCUGCCAAAACCCAAAUUUUUCUAUGGUUGACCUCGGAUCAGGUAGGGAUACCCGCUGAACUUAA
rnacentral:misc_RNA from 5 species